GGAGAGUGGGGUGAUUGGUGCCAGUGGGGAAGUUGUGCCACCCCCUAUUUCUAGGAAACCAUAGAAGAAAUUGGUCAUGUGACCACACAUUUUUGAAGACUCAGCCAUUUCAAUCAUCCUGCAGAGAAGAGAGCCUCAUUGCAUGAGAGGUAUGACUUCCCUCCACACAAGAUCUACAACAUGGAUGAAACUGGUGUGACAAUGGAAAAUGACCUUUGAUGUGCUCAUGUGGCGCAAUAGGCUUGUAGAAACUUGGCCUUUGAUGUUGUAAAAUAACUUUAAAUAAACCUUAAAUGAGUAAUUUUGUAUUGAA